rnacentral:lncRNA from 1 species
GUUUUAAGGUGUGUAAUUAUUUCUAUAACAAAUAACCCUCAUGACAAAUAUUAUAAUAAAUUUGAAUCCAUAGAUAAUCCCGACAGAAACGGGAUAGGGUAGCAAUUAUGCCUGAUACAACGAAUCCACACGGGCAUUAUCUCUGAUACUCAUUAUCAUCAUAGGCAUAUGUUUGUGAUUGUUAAUAAUCCAGAAUAUCCAUUUCCGUUCACUUCAAUACACAGAAUCCACAUGAAACAAAGGGG